rnacentral:tRNA from 1 species
GAAAACUUAGCUUAAGCCCAAAGCACAUGUUUUGAAAACAUGAGAUAAAAAUUUUAGUUUUCU